rnacentral:rRNA from 1 species
GCAAGUCGAGGGGUAACAGGAGAGCUUGCUCUCGCUGACGACCGGCGCACGGGUGAGUAACGCGUAUGCAACCUACCUUUAACAGGAGAAUAGCUUCGAGAAAUCGGAAUUAAUGCUCCAUAAUAUUUACGAGUCGCAUGGCUUGUAGAUUAAAGCUCCGGCGGUUAAAGAUGGGCAUGCGUAUCAUUAGCUUGUUGGUGAGGUAACGGCUCACCAAGGCGACGAUGAUUAGGGGGUCUGAGAGGAUGGUC